AAAACUACACAGGGAAUCCAGGAGCCGAAAGAAAAGAAAGGACGAGAGGGGGAUGGAGAAGGAUUAGGAGUAAGAGAGCAGCGGUCAAGGGCAGAGGGAUCAAGUUACCAAGGAUUUGGACUGACUCGGGAAUUCAUCAUCAGAAUGCAACAUGCAGGCAACAAAACACAAUAUCACAUGCGUACAUGUGGGGAUUCCUGUUCUACUGCUUCAAAUACAAACAAUCGAAUGAGAUAAAUAAACCAAAAAGGAAUACAUCCUUAAAACAUGGCAGCACUAACACACAAAUCAGUAUGAGCAGCUUUCAUAUAGGAGCACUACAAUGUAAGUAGCAUUUAAACUCCUCCAAUCACAGACUGACUCAUGCUUCAGCUUUUAAACUGGACGUUAUAACGAAGAAGCUUGAUGCUAAGUUUUAAUAUGGCACAAUUUCAGUCAUUCUGGGAUGUUUCUUUAGUAAUUGACCAACACAUUUGAGAUCGACUUGGGACCAUUAUCAGAGCCUGGGUUUGUGUAUCAGAGAGUCAGUUAGUCUGGAGUUAGUCAUCAACUGUAAAUGCUGGUUUUGGCUGAAGUUCCUGCUUCCUGGGAAACAUCACGACCUCACAAUAUGGCCACAAUAUGGACUUCAGAUCACAUGACCGUGUCACAUGCAAUUCCCUUCUGAUUCGACUCACCUGUUUCGUGUUUCCUCUUGAUUAGCGCUCCACAUUUAGCUCAGAGAUUUCUCUGUUUUAUGGCUAAAGCUGCUGCUCUGCUGUAUGUCUGUUUCUCGUUUCGCUCAUUUUACGAGUUUUGUUUGAGAUUUGUUUGUCCUAAUGUAAAGACCACCAAAUCUCAGACUUAUCUUCAGUUCAAUGAUUUUGAUUUCUGAGACCAGAAGAUCAAAAAUUGAGAAGUUGGAGAACUGUUGUUUAUAUAAAACUAUAAAUGUUCUAGAAAAAGUAAAUCAAUUUAAUAGAAAGUCAUUCAACUUCAAUAAAUUAUUUGACAAAAUAAAUGUACUUAAUUAUUCUUUGUAAAUUACUUCAUAAAAGAUUAGGUGUUAUAAUUAUAGUUCUAUAU